rnacentral:rRNA from 1 species
AUCCAAGCGUUAUCCGGAAUUACUGGGCGUAAAGAGUUGCGUAGGUGGCAUUGUAAGUUGAUAGUGAAAGCGUUCGGCUCAACCGAAUAAACAUUAUCAAAACUGCAAAGCUAGAGGAUGAGAGAGGUUAUUGGAAUUCCCUGUGUAGGAGUGAAAUCCGUAGAUAUAGGGAGGAACACCGAUGGCGUAGGCAGAUAACUGGCUCAUUCCUGACACUAAGGCACGAAAGCGUGGGUAGCAAACGGGAUUAGAUACCCCGGUAGUCCACGCUGUAAACGAUGGAUGCUAGCUGUUAUCGGUAUCGACCCCGGUAGUAGCGAAGCUAACGCGUUAAGCAUCCCGCCUGUGGAGUACGGUCGCAAGACUAAAACAUAAAGGAAUUGACGGGGACCCGCACAAGCGGUGGAGCGUGUUGUUUAAUUCGAUGGUAAGCGAAGAACCUUACCCAGGUUUGACAUCCUUGGAAUUUUUACGAAAGUAGAGAGUGCUUUAUUGAACCAAGUGACAGGUGAUGCAUGGCCGUCGUCAGCUCGUGUCGUGAGAUGUUUGGUUAAGUCCAUCAACGAGCGCAACCCUUGUGAUUAGUUGAAUUUUUCUAAUCAGACUGCCCUGGUAACAGGGAGGAAGGAGGGGAUGAUGUCAGGUCAGUAUUUCCCUUAUAUCUGGGGCCACAAACACGCUACAAUGGCCGGUACAAAGGGCAGCCAAGUCGCGAGACGGAGCAAAUCCCAUCAAAGCCGGUCUCAGUUCGGAUAGCAGGCUGAAACUCGCCUGCUUGAAGUCGGAAUCGCUAGUAACGGUAGGUCAGCUAUACUACCGUGAAUACGUUCCCGGGUCUUGUACACACCGCCCGUCAAACCAUGAAAGUCGCCAAUACCUGACGUGCUAGCUUGCCUAGCCCUAAGGUAGGGGAGAUGAUUGGGGUUAAGUCGU